rnacentral:rRNA from 1 species
AUUGAACGCUGGCGGCAGGCCUAACACAUGCAAGUCGAGCGGAUGAAGGGAGCUUGCUCCUGGAUUCAGCGGCGGACGGGUGAGUAAUGCCUAGGAAUCUGCCUGGUAGUGGGGGAUAACGUCCGGAAACGGGCGCUAAUACCGCAUACGUCCUGAGGGAGAAAGUGGGGGAUCUUCGGACCUCACGCUAUCAGAUGAGCCUAGGUCGGAUUAGCUAGUUGGUGGGGUAAAGGCCUACCAAGGCGACGAUCCGUAACUGGUCUGAGAGGAUGAUCAGUCACACUGGAACUGAGACUCGGUCCAGACUCCUACGGGAGGCAGCAGUGGGGAAUAUUGGACGAUGGGCGAAAGCCUGAUCCAGCCAUGCCGCGUGUGUGAAGAAGGUCUUCGGAUUGUAAAGCACUUUAAGUUGGGAGGAAGGGCAGUAAGUUAAUACCUUGCUGUUUUGACGUUACCAACAGAAUAAGCACCGGCUAACUUCGUG